CAAGGCUCGCUUCGGCGGGU
rnacentral:snRNA from 1 species